rnacentral:rRNA from 1 species
AGUGAACGCUGGCGGUAGGCCUAACACAUGCAAGUCGAACGGCAGCACAGUAAGAGCUUGCUCUUACGGGUGGCGAGUGGCGGACGGGUGAGGAAUACAUCGGAAUCUACUUUUUCGUGGGGGAUAACGUAGGGAAACUUACGCUAAUACCGCAUACGACCUACGGGUGAAAGCAGGGGAUCUUCGGACCUUGCGCGAUUGAAUGAGCCGAUGUCGGAUUAGCUAGUUGGCGGGGUAAAGGCCCACCAAGGCGACGAUCCGUAGCUGGUCUGAGAGGAUGAUCAGCCACACUGGAACUGAGACACGGUCCAGACUCCGACGGGAGGCAGCAGUGGGGAAUAUUGGACAAUGGGCGCAAGCCUGAUCCAGCCAUACCGCGUGGGUGAAGAAGGCCUUCGGGUGGUAAAGCCCUUUUGUUGGGAAAGAAAAGCAGCAGGUUAAUACCCCGCUGUUCUGACGGUACCCAAAGAAUAAGCACCGGCUAACUUCGU